GACGAACGCUGGCGGCGUGCUUAACACAUGCAAGUCGAACGGAAAGGCCCUGCUUUUGUGGGGUGCUCGAGGGGCGAACGGGUGAGUAACACGUGAGUAACCUGCCCUUGACUUUGGGAUAACUUCAGGAAACUGGGGCUAAUACCGGAUAGGAGCUCCUGCUGCAUGGUGGGGGUUGGAAAGUUUCGGCGGUUGGGGGUGGACUCGCGGCUUAUCAGCUUGUUGGUGGGGUAGUGGCUUACCAAGGCUUUGGCGGGUAGCCGGCCUGAGAGGGUGACCGGCCACAUGGGGACUGAGAUACGGCACAGACUCCUACGGGAGGCAGGAGUGGGGAAUAUUGCACAAUGGGCGGAAGUCAUAUGCAGCAGCGCCGCGUGCGGGGUGACGGCCUUCGGGUUGUAAACCGCUUUCGCCUGUGACGAAGCGUUAGUGACGGUACUGGGUAAAGAAGCACCGGCUAACUACGUG
rnacentral:rRNA from 1 species